CAAUAGCGUAUAUUAAAGUUGUUGCAGUUAAAAAGCUCGUAGUUGGAUUUCUGGUUGAAGCGACCGGUCGGGCGUUGAUUCGUCUGCACUGGAGUCGGUUUUGGCCAUCCUCUAGGAAAGUGCGUCUGGUAUUAAGUUAUCGGGCGUAUGAUCCUGGUCUUUUACUGUGAAAAAAUUAGAGGGUUUAAAGCAGGCCUUCGCCUUGAAUACAUUAGCAUGGAAUAAUAAGAUAGGACUUUGGUCUAUUUUGUUGGUUUGCAGACCGAAGUAAUGAUUAAUAGGGAUAGUUGGGGGUAUUUAUAUUCCGAUGUCAGAGGUGAAAUUCUUAGAUUUUCGGAAGAUAAACUUAUGCGAAAGCAUUUACCAAGGAUGGUUUCAUUAA
rnacentral:rRNA from 1 species